GAUGAACGCUGGCGGCGUGCCUAAUACAUGCAAGUCGAACGCUUCACUUCGGUGAAGAGUGGCGAACGGGUGAGUAAUACAUAAGUAACCUGGCAUCUACAGGGGGAUAACUGAUGGAAACGUCAGCUAAGACCGCAUAGGUGUAGAGAUCGCAUGAACUCUAUAUGAAAAGUGCUACGGGACUGGUAGAUGAUGGACUUAUGGCGCAUUAGCUUGUUGGUAGGGUAACGGCCUACCAAGGCGACGAUGCGUAGCCGACCUGAGAGGGUGACCGGCCACAAUAGGACUGAGACACGGCCCAGAAUCAAAAGAGACGAAGGAGUAGGUAACUAUCGGGAAUGUGAGAUACCAUAAACGAGAAACGCAGCGCGAAGGAAGUAAUAAUUCGUUAAGUAAACUUCUGAAAUAGCGGCAGAACGGUGAAUAUAGGGAAGGAAAUCCAAGUGAAGGCACUCUAUAAGAACGCCACGGAUAACUGCAU
rnacentral:rRNA from 1 species